CUUGCGGAGUAUCCUUCCCAAGUUGCGUGGAUGUGAAGGGACACGACUGUUCCCCUGAUGUACCAUGGGCGACCUACUUGUGACCUGAACCUCCGCCAUGUAGCAGACAACCCCCUCAGGUCUUGCGGAGUAUCCUUCCCAAGUUGCGUGGAUGUGAAGGGACACGACUGUUCCCCUGAUGUACCAUGGGCGACCUACUUGUGAUGUGGACCUGAACAUCCGCCAUGUAGCAGACAACCCCCUCAGGUCUUGCGGAGUAUCCUUCCCAAGUUGCGUGGAUGUGAAGGGACACGACUGUUCCCCUGAUGUACCAUGGGCGACCUACUUGUGAUGUGGACCUGAACCUCCGCCAUGUAGCAGACAACCCCCUCAGGUCUUGCGGAGUAUCCUUCCCAAGUUGCGUGGAUGUGAAGGGACACGACUGUUCCCCUGAUGUACCAUGGGCGACCUACUUGUGAUGUGGACCUGAACCUCCGCCAUGUAGCAGACAACCCCCUCAGGUCUUGCGGAGUAUCCUUCCCAAGGUACAGGAACCAGCGUGGAUGUCAAGGGACAAGACAGUUCCCCUGCUGUACCAUGGGCGACCUACCACAAUACCACUGCAUCUCUGAAAUGCCAUAUUUUACAUUUUAUCAACUAAUAAUUUAAAGAAAAACCACACAAAA